rnacentral:rRNA from 1 species
AUACGGAGGGUGCAAGCGUUACUCGGAAUCACUGGGCGUAAAGGAUGCGUAGGCUGGAUGUCAAGUUGGAAGUGAAAUCCUAUGGCUUAACCAUAGAACUGCUUCCAAAACUGGCAACCUAGAGUGAGGGAGAGGCAGAUGGAAUUAGUGGUGUAGGGGUAAAAUCCGUAGAUAUCACUAGGAAUACCGAUUGCGAAGGCGAUCUGCUAGAACUCUACUGACGCUAAGGCAUGAAAGCGUGGGGAGCAAACAGGAUUAGAUACCCGGGUAGUCC